rnacentral:rRNA from 1 species
UACAGAGGGUGCAAGCGUUGUUCGGAAUUACUGGGCGUAAAGCGCGUGUAGGCGGUCUCGCAAGUCGGGUGUGAAAGCCCUUGGCUCAACCAAGGAACUGCAUUCGAAACUACGAGACUAGAGUAUCGGAGGGGGUGGCGGAAUUCCCGGUGUAGAGGUGAAAUUCGUAGAUAUCGGGAGGAACACCUGGUGGCGAAGGCGGCCACCUGGAAGAUAACUGACGCUGAGACGCGAAAGCGUGGGGGAGCAAACAGG